UGAAUUACUGAUCUGUAUGGGCUCUUCCUAAAAUUUGGACCACAACUUCUGGCUAAAGGAUGAGUUUGACAAUUUAAGGUGAUGAGCUUAUGACACAGCCUCUCAUAUGGAAGAUUUAGUGCGUCUUCACUUCGCCUGCUGAACACUAGCAUUGUAGCAUCUUUUAACAUUUAGAGUGUGCUUUCUAAAUCUGCCUUGAUAAUUUCAGGAGGGUCUUUCGUUUUGGUCAGUAGAAGGGGACCUCAGCGGAACAUCACAUUGAUUCCUGCUUUUCUUUCUUUUUCUUUUCUUUUUUGGGCUUUUCUGAAGCAUUGGUGUUUUUGUCUUUCAUUUGGUUUACGUUUACCGUAGCCUCCGUAUGUGCAACGCAAAUUAUAUUGAAGUUGUCGCCUACAGUUUGGGAAGAUCAGCUUCCCCUUAAAUGCCCUGAAUGUUUUUAACUUUGACCGUUUUGAGUCACGCUGUCUCGGGUUCUGUACUUCUCUGA
rnacentral:lncRNA from 1 species